rnacentral:tRNA from 1 species
GUGCCCGUGGCUUAAUGGAUAGAGCAGAUGGCUACGGACCAUCAGGUUGGGGGUUCGAGUCCCUCCGGGCAUACCA